rnacentral:sRNA from 1 species
AUUUAAACCAACGAAGUAUUAUCUAAACACUCAGAAUCCAUCUCUAACUCAUAUAAUUAGUCAAAUGCAUUAGAUUGUGAUACAUUUUGACCAUUAAAACACUAACAAAGCUAUUUACUGCUUCUAACCAAUUUUUUGUUGGUUUUGCCCUCUUCUAGGAGAAAAUGGGUAUAAUUGUUGUCUAAACACUCUGAUCUAUCUCUAACUCAUAUAAUUAGUCAAAUACUUUAGAUUGUUACAAAAUUUCACCAUAGAAACACUAACAAAGCUAUUUAGUGCUUCUAAGCAAUUUUUUGUUGGUUUUAGCUUGUUUUGAGACAAAAUGGGAAUAAGUGUUGCCUAAACACUCCUAAUCCAUAUUUAACUCAUCUAAUUAGUCAAAUGCAUCGGAUUGUAACACAUUUUGACCAUAAAAACACUAACAAAGCUAUUUACUGCUUCUAACAAUUAUUUGUUGGUUUUAUCCUCUUCUAGGAGAAAAUGGUUAUAAGUGUUUGCUAAACGCUCCUAAUCUAUCUCUAACUCAUAUAAUUAGUUAAAAGUUUUGGAUUGUGACAAAAUUUGACCAUAGAAACACUAACAAAGCUAAUUAGUGUUUCUAAGCAAUUUUUUGUUUGUUUUAGCUUCUUUUGAGACAAAAUGUGUAUAAUUGUUGUCUAAACACUCCUAAUCCAUCUCUAACUCAACUAAUUAGUCAAAUGCAUUGGAUACUAACAUAUUUUAACAAUAGAAACAUUAACAAAGCUAUUGACUGCUUGUAAGCAAUUUUUGUUGGUUUUAGCGUUUUUUGGGACAAAAUGGGUAUAAGUGAUGUUAAAACACUCCUAAUACAUCUCUAACUCAUAUAAUUAGUCAAAUGCAUUAGAUUGUGACACAUUUAGACCAUUGAAACACUAACAAAGCUAUUUACUGCUUCUAAGCAAUGUUUUGUUGGUUUUAGUCUCUUUUGGGACAAAAUGGGUAUAAGUACUGUCUAAACAGUCCUAAUCCAUCUCUAACUUUUGUAAUUAGUCAAAUGCAUUGGAUUAUGACACAUUUUGACCAUAGAAACACUAACAAAGCUGUUUACUGCAUCUGAGCAAUUUUUUGUCUGUUUUAUUUACUUUUGGGACAAAAUGGGUAUAAGUGUUGUCUAAACACUCCUAAUCCAUCUUUAACUUUUAUAAUUAGUCAAAUGCAUUGGAUUGUAACACAUUUUGACCAAAGAAACACUAACAAAGCUAUUGACUGCUUCUAAGCAAUUUGUUUUUGGUUUUAGACUCUCUUGGGAGAAAAUAGGUAUGAAUGUUGUCUAAACACUCCUAAUCCAUCUUUAACUUUCCUAAUUAGUCAAAUGCAAUGGAUUCUGACACAUUUUAACCAUAGAAACACUAACAAAGAUAUUGACUACUUCUAAGCAAUUUUUUGUUGGUUUUAGCAUCUUUUGGGAGAAAAUGGGUAUAAGUGUUGUCUAAACACACCUAAUCCAUAUUUAAAUCUUAUAAUUAGUCAAAUGCAUUAGAUUGUAACACAUUUUGACCAUAGAAACCCUAACAAAGCUAUUUAGUGCUUCUAAGCAAUUUUUUGGUUGUUUUAGCCUCUUUUGGGAUAAAAUGGGUAUAAGUGUUGUCUAAACACUCCUAAUCCAUCUUUAACUCUUCUAAUUAGUCAAAUGCAUUGGAUUCUGACACAAUUAACCGUAGAAACACUAACAAAGCUAUUGGCUGCUUUUAAGCAAUGUUUUGUUGGUUUUAGCCUCUUUUGGGAGAAAAUGGUUGUAAGUGUUAUCUGAACACUCCUAAUCUAUCUCUACCUCAUAUAAUUAGUCAAAUGCAUUGGAUUCUGACACAAUUAACCAUAGAAACACUAACAAAGUUAUUUAGUGCUUCUAAGCAAUGUUUUGUUGGUUUUAGCCUCUUUUGGGAGAAAAUAGGUAUAAGUGUUGUCUAAACACCCUUAAUCCAACUGUAACUCAUAUAAUUAGUCAAAUGCAUUGUAUUGUGAUAAAUGUUGACCAUUGAAAAAGUAACAAAGCUAUUCACUGCUUCCAAGCAAUUUUUUGUUGGUUUUAGCCUCUUCUAGGUGAAAAUGGGUAUAAGUGUUGUCUAAAUACUCAUAAUCCAUCUCUAACUCAUAUAAUUAGUCAAAUGCAUCAGAUUGUGUUACAUUUUGACCAUAAAAACAUUAAGAA